CGCGGCCUAUCAGCUUGUUGGUGAGGUAAUGGCUCACCAAGGCGACGACGGGUAGCCGGCCUGAGAGGGCGACCGGCCACACUGGGACUGAGACACGGCCCAGACUCCUACGGGAGGCAGCAGUAGGGAAUAUUGGGCAAUGGGCGAAAGCCUGACCCAGCGACGCCGCGUGAGGGAUGAAGGUCUUCGGAUUGUAAACCUCUUUCAGUAGGGAAGAAGCGUAAGUGACGGUACCUAAAGAAGAAGCACCGGCUAACUAUGUGCCAGCAGCCGCGGUAAUACAUAGGGUGCAAGCGUUGUCCGGAAUUAUUGGGCGUAAAGAGCUCGUAGGUCGUUUGUCGCGUCGAUUGUGAAAAUCUGAGGCUCAACCUCAGACCUGCAGUCGAUACGGGCAGACUAGAGUGUGGUAGGGGAGACUGGAAUUCCUGGUGUAGCGGUGGAAUGCGCAGAUAUCAGGAGGAACACCGGUGGCGAAGGCGGAUCUCUGGGCCAUUACUGACGCUGAGGAGCGAAAGCGUGGGGAGCGAACAGGAUUAGAUACCCUGGUAGUCCACGCCGUAAACGUUGGGAACUAGGUGUUGGCGACAUUCCACGUCGUCGGUGCCGCAGCUAACGCAUUAAGCUCCCCGCCUGGGGAGUACGG
rnacentral:rRNA from 1 species